UUGAGCUCUGCACUUGAUGCACCACAAUUCUUGCGGCACAAAUCAUGUAAUAUGAAGAAUUUGCACAAACGGAUGAUCAAACCAUGCAGGUUAAGAAAUCAGUUCAUUUGUCUUCACUAUCUUGGUUUGAGUCCACAUUAUCAUGUACUACAUACGCAUCAGUACAUGAUUUAUCCCUCAAGUUACAGUUAGAUACAUGAGAACCUGAAUAUUUCUCACAUUUGGGUUGAGUCAAAGU
rnacentral:misc_RNA from 1 species